GCUGGCAGGUAGCUCUCUGCAACUCACUGGUUCACCCACUGAAGCCAAGCAGGGCUGUGCCCGGUCAGUACCUGGAUGGGAAACCACAUGGGAAAGAUAGGUUUCUGCUGGAA
rnacentral:rRNA from 1 species